CCAAACGGUUUCAUCUCCUACAUUCAAAGAGAUUGACGCUUCCACGAUGGUUUAUCUAUGAACAGUUACUAUUCUACUUCUGCCAUUCUUAUAAGAAGGAUGGACAAGAAAGUGGAAAAUCAGAGUAUGCAGAGAAACCCAAGACAACUACCCAAGAGGGGAGCCAACAACAAGAGGGUGUCGUAGUCACAGAUGUCCGUCAUUGUUAGAGUAGGUUCUGCUUGAAGGCUGGUGUUUUUCGAGAUGUCGACACACCAGCAGCGGCAAGCAUGGAGGUGGAGGUGGAGGCCGAGAAGACACGGUUGAGAUUAGCCACGAGAACACUGAUGGUUUUGGAAAAUCCGACAAAGAUGGCGAUGCUGAGGGAGAGCAAAAUUUUUCAAAGAUGGAGUCUUGGCUUUCUUCCAACAUGUGAGUCUCUUCUUUUCUUUUUCUUUAUGGCUUUUUGGAGGAUACUGGAUCAAUCUUUUCUCUC